AGUUGUGGCACGGGUUCACAAUCCAGGAUCGCUAACUACUAGGCCAUGCCCAGUCCUCAAUAAGAAAUUGUGUUUUUCAGUAUAGUUGUUUCAACUAUGGCGCAUCAAAAUGGAUAACCUUACGAUUCGUUCACUGGUUAUUUGGAUCGUGCUUGUGUUGCCCAUACGUAACAACCAUGUCGUUAAGCUUACAAGAGCGCGUUGAUAUUAUCCUCUUGUGUGGACGUCAAGAGACGGACGUGGCUAGCGUGCCCAGACUGUGAAUUUGAAGGUCCAUGGUUCAGAUCCCGAUGAACAGAAAAAAAAAACGCGCUCCGCACUGUGGGGGCUGUGGAUGCGCUAUAAAAGUGACGGUCAAA